rnacentral:rRNA from 1 species
UACGGGGGGAGCAAGCGUUGUUCGGAUUUACUGGGCGUAAAGGGCGCGUAGGCGGUCAGCACAAGUCAGUUGUGAAAUCUCCGGGCUUAACUCGGAAAGGUCAACUGAUACUGUGCGACUAGAGUGCGGAAGGGGCAACUGGAAUUCUCGGUGUAGCGGUGAAAUGCGUAGAUAUCGAGGGGAACACCUGCGGCGAAGGCGGGUUGCUGGGCCGACACUGACGCUGAUGCGCGAAAGCCAGGGGAGCGAACGGG